rnacentral:piRNA from 1 species
UGGACCACAAGUGCUUCAUGGGCAUGGCC